UACAGAGGGUGCAAGCGUUGUUCGGAAUUACUGGGCGUAAAGCGUGCGUAGUCGGUAUUGAGAGUCACGGGUAAAAUCCCAAGGCUUAACCUUGGAACUGCCUGUGAGACCUCAGCACUAGAGUGUGAGAGGGGAUAGUGGAAUACCCAGUGUAGCGGUGAAAUGCGUAGAGAUUGGGUGGAACACCGGUGGCGAAGGCGGGCUAUCUGGCUCACAACUGACGAUCAGGCACGAAAGCGUGGGGAGCAAACAGGG
rnacentral:rRNA from 1 species